rnacentral:lncRNA from 1 species
UCGUCCUGACCUCUGUGGCUGUAUUUUAUGUGUAUUGUUCCUUUAAUGUGCAGGCGCGGGCUCCAUUCAACUAGACAAGAGGAGUUCUCCAAACCUGUCUCUGGAUCUGGUUCCUGGAGGAUCUGUGGAAGAGAUGCUCCAGGAUUAUGUGAAGGAGACAGAGUUGGAGUUAAGCGGCUGGAGAUCCCAGAGGAGAUACAACGAAGGAGAAGAGGAUGCAGAGUGGGAGUAAAGCGCAGACGGGCCUCCUUACCCUGGAGGACUUCAUGAGGGGCCUCAGCAGCCAGGAGCAGGUCUGGAGUUCAGUGCCUGUGGCCCAGCUGAUCAGAAGAUUCAUGGCGAUCAGAGAUGCCCACACCUCCACAGACUCCGAAAGGAAAGGCCGCCUGCUGCGUUGCUUUAAGAACGCGGUUUCAGUCCAGGCCCCUGAGUUUGGACGCUCACGAGUUCCUGACCUCAGUCCUGGACCAGAUACGGAGUCUGUCCCCUCACCUGCAGGUCAUUGCAGCCAGCAUGGGCAGGAGAGCCUCCUUACCCUGGAGGGCUUCAUGAGGGGCCUCAGCAGCCAGGAGCAGGUCUGGAGUUCAGUUCCUGUGGCCCAGCUGAUCAGGUACAGUAACACCCCCCCCGUACACACACAUACACAGACAUCGGGCCAUGAAAAAAAGUCGGUGUGCAGCAGAAGGAGUCAGACGACAGCACUGUUCACUCCCUGCACUGAGGUCCAGAAGAAGACUAAUAGUUCUUAUAACAGCACUUACGAGCUACUUAAUAAAGUUUAA